AGGAAGGCGGCCUGGGCCCCUGAGUCUGGGGAAUAGGAAGCAGAUGUCGUCCCGCCCUUAUUUUCCCUUCUACCCCAGCUCCCCUCUCCUCCUCUCCACCUCUUCUCCCUCCAGAAGCAUAAUCCUCAUUUCAGAUCAACACGAGGGAAGUGGAUGCGCCAGUUCCCUCCAACCAAGAAUGCUCCAAGUCGGCCUGGUGCCCCAAGAUGUGGGGCAAACUACUCCUGCUGAUCACAGAUGCAGUUACAGACCUUUGUGACCGCCUUGCUGGCCACAGGACUUCCACAUGACCGUCCUAGUGGCCUCACACAGAUCAGCCCUGAGCUAACAUCUGCCGCCUAUCCUCCUCGUCUUUGGCUGAGGAAGACUGGCCCUGAGAUAACAUCUGUGCCCAUCUUCCACCACUUUAUAUGUGGGACACCAGCCACAGCAUGGCUUGACAAGUGGUGCUUAGGUCCGCACCCAGGAUCUGAAUCUGAAUCCCAGGCCGCCGAAGUGGAACGUGAGAACUUAGCUCCGCCACUGGGCUGCCCCAAGAAGUGAUUUGAAGGAUUGCUCUGGUAACAGUCUGGAGAAUGGGCAGUAGAAGAGAUGUAAGAAAAAUCAUCCCCUAGAUGGAGAUAAGGCGAAGAGGUCUCCAUGUUCUCUCAUUGUUAGGCUAGAGCAGUGUCUAGCAGGUCCGCCCGAGGAUUAUUUCAUUCUCUGUGGCAGGGUUGACAACAUAUUCUGUAAAGGGGAGAUAGUAAAUAUUUCAGUCUUUUGGUCCAUAUGGUCUCCAUUGCAGUUUCUCAACAAUGCCAUUGUACCAUGGAAGCAACCAAAGAUAAGAUGCAAAUGAAUGAGCAUGGAUGGUAUAAAUAAAACUUUAUUUACAGAAACAAGAGGUGGCUGCCAUUCUUGCUCAAUGAGAUUGUACUCUUGUUGGACAUACUGCUUUCUGUUGAUUAGAGCCCAGGCUCUGUGAAAUUCCACAUUGAUUUAUAAAUUUUCAUCUGACAGAGAUGAAAAAAUUUCUAUCUGAUAGAAAAAAGUAAUUCCAAAGGUUCUGCUUUGAUUGUUCUGAAGGACAUUUAACUAGUUUUGUAUCUAACAAGAAAUCUUAUUCCAAUAUUCUCUCUGCAUCACUUAUACAAUAUCAAUACUCAGCUCCUCAAACACCCGCCAAAGCAGCCUUACUAUCUGGCUGGUUCUCUUGUUAAUGAGUCAAAUAAAUCUUUAACACAUGUUAACAUCAUAUUAGUAUGACAGUCAUCUUUAUUUUAACUUUCUGAAUAUUACACUGUACUUUACCAGGGAAGGGAUUCAGGAUAAGGCUGUUGGAGCAGUCCAGAAGAGAGAGAAAGACCGUGGAGAUGGAGCAGCUAAGACACACUAGAGAUUUUUCUGAGACGGACCUGCACACCUCUGACACAGCAGAUUCACAAUCUGUGCUUUCACCAGUGGGCAGCAGUUAAAUGAAUCCCAUGCCACAGAAUGCUGGGCUACUGAGGAAAGAACAAGGAAGUGCUGUCUACACUCAUGAGGAACGGUCUCCCGGGUAGGGUGUGACGUGGCCGGAGCGAGGCGAGAGACAGAAGCUCUGAGAGUUAAGGAGCUUUUCCCGGGCCUUGUGGCCACCGAGCAGGAAACAGCAACCAGGCCACCCUCUCCUCUGCUUUGUCAUCUAUCAAAUGAGGAUGCUGACUUCUAGGUGAUUAGGACACAGUAUGAAGAGAAUUACGAUUUAGCCUAAGUCCAUGGCUCAGCGAGCCUGCGGAGGAGGGGCUGGAACCUUCUAGGAGGAUGACAAGCUGACCUUUGUCUGGAGUCCUGAAGAACAAGGAGCUGGUGGCCAGGUGGAGAGGAGAAGAGUGCUCGGGGAGAAGCACCAGCCUUGACGAAGGUUUGCAGGCACGAGGCCUGCAGCUCCUCUAGGGAUGAGAAAACUGAGCUCGAGAAGGCCUUAUGACUUUGCCCAAGGUCACAGAAUUAGCAAGUGCCCCAGAUUGGAUUCUAACCCCAUUCUAGGGUGGCUUCAGGGGAUGCAACUUGCGUACUCAGAAGGGCA
rnacentral:lncRNA from 1 species